rnacentral:rRNA from 1 species
GAUGAACGCUGGCGGCGUGCCUAAUACAUGCAAGUCGAGCGAACGGACGAGAAGCUUGCUUCUCUGAUGUUAGCGGCGGACGGGUGAGUAACACGUGGAUAACCUACCUAUAAGACUGGGAUAACUUCGGGAAACCGGAUCUAAUACCGUAUGAUAUUUUGAACCGCAUGGUUCAAAAGUGAAAGACGGUCUUGCUGUCACUUAUAGAUGGAUCCGCGCUGCAUUAGCUAGUUGGUAAGGUAAAGGCUUACCAAGGCAACGAUGCAUAGCCGACCUGAGAGGGUGAUCGGCCACACUGGAACUGGGACACGGUCCAGACUACUACGGGAGGCCGCAGUAGGGAAUCUUCCGCAAUGGGCGAAAGCCUGACGGAGCAACGCCGCGUGAGUGAUGAAGGUCUUCGGAUCGUAAAACUCUGUUAUUAGGGAAGAACAUAUGUGUAAGUAACUGUGCACAUCUUGACGGUAACUAAUAAGAAAGCCACGGCUAACUACGUG